rnacentral:rRNA from 1 species
UACAGAGGUCUCAAGCGUUGUUCGGAUUCAUUGGGCGUAAAGGGCGCGUAGGCUGCGGGGCAAGUCGGGUGAUGAAAUCUCAGAGCUCAACUCUGAAACUGCACUCGAUACUGCUUUGCUUGAGGACUGGAGAGGAGAUUGGAAUUCACGGUGUAGCAGUGAAAUGCGUAGAUAUCGUGAGGAAGACCAGUGGCGAAGGCGGAUCUCUGGGACAGUUCCUGACGCUGAGACGCGAAAGCGUGGGGAGCAAACAGG